CCCAGACUCCUACGGGAGGCAGCAGUGGGGAAUAUUGCACAAUGGGGGAAACCCUGAUGCAGCAACGCCGCGUGAGUGAAGAAGUAUUUCGGUAUGUAAAGCUCUAUCAGCAGGGAAGAAGAUGACGGUACCUGAGUAAGAAGCCCCGGCUAACUACGUGCCAGCAGCCGCGGUAAUACGUAGGGGGCAAGCGUUAUCCGGAUUUACUGGGUGUAAAGGGAGCGUAGACGGUGAGACAAGUCUGAAGUGAAAGCCCGGGGCUCAACCCCGGGACUGCUUUGGAACCUGCCUGACUGGAGUGCUGGAGAGGCAGGCGGAAUUCCUGGUGUAGCGGUGAAAUGCGUAGAUAUCAGGAGGAACACCGGUGGCGAAGGCGGCCUGCUGGACUGCGACUGACGUUGAGGCCCGAAAGCGUGGGGAGCAAACAGGAUUAGAUACCCCUGUA
rnacentral:rRNA from 1 species